rnacentral:miRNA from 1 species
GAGGUGGGAGGAUCGCUUGAGCCCAGGAGUUUGAGGCUGCAGUGAGCUGUGAUCACACCACUGCACUCCAGCCUGAGUGACAGAGCAAGACCCUGU